CAGGUACAGCACAGGAAGUGACAGUGUGAGCUUUCCCCAUACCACCCCAUCCAUGUGCCUUGA
rnacentral:sRNA from 1 species